rnacentral:piRNA from 1 species
UAGCAUGCACAAGAUGAGAAAUACCCA